rnacentral:rRNA from 1 species
GGCCCGCACAAGCGGAGGAGCAUGUGGUUUAAUUCGAUGAUACGCGAGGAACCUUACCCGGGCUCGAACGUAUGAUGAAUAAUAUGGAAACAUGUUAGUCGAAAGACAUUAUACGAGGUGCUGCAUGGUUGUCGUCAGCUCGUGCCGUGAGGUGUCAGGUUAAGUCCUAUAACGAGCGCAACCCUUACUGUUAGUUGCCAGCAUGUAAUGAUGGGGACUCUAGCGGAACUGCCUACGCAAGUAGAGAGGAAGGUGGGGAUGACGUCAAAUCAGCACGGCCCUUAUGUCCGGGGCGACACACGUGCUACAAUGGUCGAUACAGAGGGCAGCUACCUGGUGACAGGAUGCCAAUCUCAAAAAUCGAUCUCAGUUCGGAUCGGAGUCUGUAACUCGACUCCGUGAAGUUGGAUUCGCUAGUAAUCGCACAUCAGCCAUGGUGCGGUGAACUACG